AGCAGCCGCGGUAAUUCCAGCUCCAAUAGCGUAUAUUAAAGUUGUUGCAGUUAAAAAGCUCGUAGUUGAAUUUCGGGAUUAAUAUGUUGGUCGUGCCUUGGUACGUACUGGCAUUAUUGAUUCCUACCUUCUGAAGAACCUCGAUGUCAUUAAUUUGGUGUCUUGGGGGAAAUCAGGACCGUUUACUUUGAAAAAAAUUAGAGUGUUUAAAGCAGGCUCGCGCUUGAAUACACUAGCAUGGAAUAAUGAAAUAGGACGUUUGAUUCUAUUUUGUUGGUUUCUAGGAUCGACGUAAUGAUUAAUAGGGAUAGUUGGGGGCAUUAGUAUUCAAUUGUCAGAGGUGAAAUUCUUGGAUUUAUUGAAGACUGACUACUGCGAAAGCAUUUGCCAAGGAUGUUUUCAUUAAUCAAGAACGAAAGUUAGGGGAUCGAAGACGAUCAGAUACCGUCGUAGUCUUAACCAUAAACUAUGCCGACUAGGGAUCGGAUGAUGUUAAUUUUUUAAUGACUCAUUCGGCGCC
rnacentral:misc_RNA from 1 species